rnacentral:lncRNA from 1 species
GUGUUUAGAUUUUAGUUUCUUUUUUGAGAUUUGACUUAUGGAGAUAUCAAUAUCUUUAGUCCGUAUUCGAUUUUGUAUUCUACUCUUGAAUUAAUAUAUAAUCAGAUGAAGAAAAAAUAAAAACUAAAUAAUACUCUCUCCGUUUCAUAAUAGUUGAUGUUUUAGAAGAAGUUUGUUGUUCCAAAAUAGUUGAAGUUUUGAUAUAUUUAUACUAUUUUUAAUUUUAUUGAAAACUAUGUAACUAAUUAGAUUUUACAGUCAUUCUUUUAAUUGGUUGAAUAAUUUUUAAAUUAUAUUGGUAAAGUUACUUUUUGAAAAAAAAAAAAAAUUAAUAUUUGUGUAAUGAGUCAAAACAUCAUGGAUUGUGAAAUAGAAGGAAUAGAUGACAACUAGUUAGCUCUUUAUUUGUUUGUUUAGAAUAAAAAAAUAUUUUUAAAGAAUUAAUGAAAAUCACGUAUGGCCAAUACAAACACUGGAGUAUCCGGAGGAAUAAUUAUUCGGGAGGAGAACAAGUUAGAAAAACGCUCUCACCUCUCUCUGCUUCUCGGACUUGAUUCUGGCGCAAUCUAACCGGCGUCGGUGGGCUUCCUCAGCCACGACGUCGGUCGGGCUCUUCCCUUUAGCUUCUCUGUUUUUUUUUCGUUUUAGUUUCUAGUUUUCGGCGUCGCACCUCCCUACGGUGGGCGUCCGACUUUUGACUCCGGGAGGUAGUGGCUUAUCCAGCACCGCUUAUCGCCGGCUCUUGUCUCUGGCGCCUUAACUGUUUUCUCCGGUGUUUGGGCGGUCAGCUUUGAUCCUACCUUAAAUCGCGGGUUCUGUUUUUGUGUGGUUCUCUUAUCUUCGAUGGCUGGCUUCGUGUCUGCAGAUGAGAUCUUGAAUCAGUCGAUUGAAUGAUCUCUGGCGAUGGCGCUAUGGCGGUGAAGAUGUAAGAGAUUGGUGAGGUUAUAAAGUGUCGAUGGUGGUUGCGAUGGCUCUGGAUGAGCUCUCGGAAUAGUCCCGAUGAAGCUCUCCGUUGAAAAG